ACCUCUACGAAGAUUAACGGCGC
rnacentral:siRNA from 1 species